rnacentral:rRNA from 1 species
GGGAUAACUAGUCGAAAGAUUAGCUAAUACCGCAUACGACCUGAGGGUGAAAGUGGGGGACCGCAAGGCCUCAUGCUAUAGGAGCGGCCGAUGUCUGAUUAGCUAGUUGGUGAGGUAAAGGCUCACCAAGGCGACGAUCAGUAGCUGGUCUGAGAGGACGAUCAGCCACACUGGGACUGAGACACGGCCCAGACUCCUACGGGAGGCAGCAGUGGGGAAUUUUGGACAAUGGGCGAAAGCCUGAUCCAGCAAUGCCGCGUGUGUGAAGAAGGCCUUCGGGUUGUAAAGCACUUUUGUCCGGAAAGAAAUGGCUCUGGUUAACACCUGGGGUCGAUGACGGUACCGGAAGAAUAAGGACCGGCUAACUACGUGCCAGCAGCCGCGGUAAUACGUAGGGUCCAAGCGUUAAUCGGAAUUACUGGGCGUAAAGCGUGCGCAGGCGGUUGUGCAAGACCGAUGUGAAAUCCCCGAGCUUAACUUGGGAAUUGCAUUGGUGACUGCACGGCUAGAGUGUGUCAGAGGGGGGUAGAAUUCCACGUGUAGCAGUGAAAUGCGUAGAGAUGUGGAGGAAUACCGAUGGCGAAGGCAGCCCCCUGGGAUAACACUGACGCUCAUGCACGA